AGUGAACGCUGGCGGUAGGCCUAACACAUGCAAGUCGAACGGCAGCACAGUAAGAGCUUGCUCUUACGGGUGGCGAGUGGCGGACGGGUGAGGAAUACAUCGGAAUCUACUUUUUCGUGGGGGAUAACGUAGGGAAACUUACGCUAAUACCGCAUACGACCUACGGGUGAAAGCAGGGGAUCUUCGGACCUUGCGCGAUUGAAUGAGCCGAUGUCGGAUUAGCUAGUUGGCGGGGUAAAGGCCCACCAAGGCGACGAUCCGUAGCUGGUCUGAGAGGAUGAUCAGCCACACUGGAACUGAGACACGGUCCAGACUCCGACGGGAGGCAGCAGUGGGGAAUAUUGGACAAUGGGCGCAAGCCUGAUCCAGCCAUACCGGGUGGGUGAAGAAGGCCUUCGGGCUGUAAAGCCCUUUUGUUGGGAAAGAAAAGCAGCAGGUUAAUACCCCGCUGUUCUGACGGUACCCAAAGAAUAAGCACCGGCUAACUUCGUG
rnacentral:rRNA from 1 species